rnacentral:rRNA from 1 species
UACGGAGGAUUCGAGCGUUAUCCGGAUUUAUUGGGUUUAAAGGGUGCGUAGGCGGUCCGGAAAGUCAGCGGUAAAAGCCCGGGGCUCAACCCCAUCCAGCCGUUGAAACUGGGGAUCUAGAGUGUGCGAGAGGUAUGCGGAAUGCGUGGUGUAGCGGUGAAAUGCAUAGAUAUCACGCAGAACCCCGAUUGCGAAGGCAGCUCACUGGACUGCAACUGACACUGAGGCUCGAAAGUGUGGGCAUCAAACAGG